AAGUCAGAGUCCACUGCUUACAUGUCCACUAGGAAAAACAGCCCACCAUCAGAUGUGGGCCGCCAUUAGUCCCAAUAGCAUAGUGUUUGGCAGGAGCAAGAGAACUGGGAAAGGAAUAAAUGAAGGAGAGUGAGCUGUUUAAAACCCUGGGGAAAAGGAGGGUUUAAGAAGUGACUUCAGAAAGAGAUAGUGCUUCAGAGCUGCCAAACGGAUUCAGCUGUUUCGUCUUCAUUCCCUUUGUCUAUCCUGAAGUGGAAACCUAUUGUUGUUUAGUCUGACUGCGUUUCUCCAGCUUAUUUUCCUCCCCAUGUGGCUGCUUUCCUGGAAGACUUUGCUGGUUGCCAUUAGCUAUUGUGCUUUUUGAAAUCCUAAAAGAGCAGAGGACCCGCCCAGUGAAUCAGUUCUUACUGUAAUGAUGGGGCUAAAAUAAGACACUUCCAACUGGACUGACAGAGAGUUGGAGGGGACAAAGAGUAAGAGUACAUGAUGGCAUGGUUAUUGUGGUAAAAACCUUUGUUGUUAAAUUGGGCAUAACGCAAUAUGGUUCAUGCUAUGCAUCCAUCACCAGGAUUGUAAAUUUAUACAAAGAGAAAGAGGGAGAGGAAUGGGAAAGACACGGAGCCCAAAAGUAAAUUAGACUUGCCACAAGACAGAACCUCAGUCUUCUGUCCAGCAUCCACAGUGGCAACGGUCUCUAGAGGCACGCAAGCAAGUCUUAAAAGAGAAACCAGGAAGAAAAAAAAGACAUCUAGCACCAACGCAUUGAAUCUCUGGACUGUAUCUUUAGAGAUUCUGGUGUCAGAGUCACUGGGUUAAAGCACAGCUAGAUUUGAUCUCCAGGUCUUUGUGGUCUUGGAGUAAGGCUGUAGUGUUUUCACAGGAGGAAAAGAAGGGUGAUGGGUUCAUGCAGCCCCAAAUGUACUCCUCAUUCCUAGACUUUGCUUCUGCAUGCAGCUGGCGAUAGUGCUAAAUGCAAUUGAAACAAGCACUGGGCCAAAGGAAGUAUACAGUUACUAUAUUCAACUGGAGAUGCACAGCAUUCGUGGAACUGGGAUAAGUCUGGAAUAUUGGCUCAUGAUUGGCUCUAAUUGACUGGGAUAUUCACCAUCAUGGAUAGUCAGUUUUGACAUAAACCACAGCAGCAAAGAACUCAGUCUGUCUGUGGGGUGUUCUCUCUCUCUAACAUAGUGAGAGAAUUCAUCAUCCUUUCUAAUCAUGGAGACCCGUGAUUAGCAUCCCAUAUUUAGGUUUCACUCAAUUUUAGGUUUGUACAAAAUGUGAUAUGCCUGGAGGUUGUAAUGUAAUUGCACUUCCAUGAGGUUUUCUUGGCUAAAUCUAACCAUUUGAUGAUAUACUCUAUCAAAUGAGUACAUAUGGUGCUUUUAAAUUACCGAUGUUGAAUGUUUGAUUAAUUCCAACAAUUAUUCCAACAGUUUCUGCACUUUCUGUACUUUUAAAGUAAUCACUAUUUAUUCCUGCCAGAGAAUUCAGCAGCCAUCUCAUUUACUAAAUUUGAAGAGAGCUGAUUCAUGUGAGAGAUUUAUCUUAAGCCAAGCAUACAUUACAAGACUGAAGCUUGUCGCCCAUUCAUGUUUUUAGUCUGCACAGAAAGCCCCGGGUUGUAGCCAACUCUCAGUACGUGCCCAUUCCAGACAGUCUUCUAUAGUCUAUAGUAUAAGCAGUUGUGAGACAUGUUGUGACUAGUCACAAAUGCUACAACAGAUUUCAGACUGUUUUGUAAUUUGGCUGACUAGUCAGGUGUGUGCACUGUCCUUAGUACUGAGAAACAAUGAACAACAAGCAUAUGUGAGAGAAAGGUAAGGAAGAGCAGGAUCCAAAAAAAGAUGCUAUCAUGGCUUUCCAAAUCUCCCCAAUCACUGAAUGAAUUUCAGAAUCAUAUCAACAGUUGGGGAGGACAGUGAUCCCCUACUAGACCCUUUUCACAUGAUGUCAGGUAACUUCUGUUCUGACUCGAAGUGCUGUGUGCUUACUUCCGCCAGCAUAGUAGAAUGCUAGCACCACCACCAUGGAGAGUAACACUUUAUUUCGAUGAUCCACUUUAGACAUUCUAUUAACUAUAAGUAGCUUUGCAACUACAUGUAAACUAACUCUGAUUAGAGUAUUAGUAGACUGUUUGCAUCCCAUAAUAGUCAAACAUACAGAUGGUACAACUAGAGUCACAGAAGCAGAAGACCUGAGAGUAGGUGAAGUUCAUGCAGAUAUGAAGGUGCUAGAUUAUGAAGAGCCUUAUAAGUGAAAAGUAAAAUCUUAAAUUGAAUCCGAUAUUUAGCUGGAAGCUACUGGAGGUACCUUAAAACUGGAGAAAUAUGCUCAAUCAGUGGUGUUCAUAUAAUGAUCCGGGCUGCUGAAGCUGGACCAUUUGAAGUUUGUACAGAAGUUUCUGUAAAACAUUGAGAAGAGAAUUACAAUAGUCAGUACGAGAUGUGAUUAAUGCAUGCACAGCAGUACUAUUAGCAGAAAGAGAUUAUUAUUUCACAAAUGAUAAUAUUCUGACUGUGUAAUGUUAUUUACAUGUGCCUCAAAAGAUACGUAAAGUGCUGUCAAGGAUGACACCCAGACUCUUAAACUGAAGGGAAGGAGAGAUAACAGUCGAUAGUCAGUGUAAAACUUUCACAGUUUUGCAGAAUAACAUUUCAGUCUUCUCACUAUUAACCUUAAAUAAAUUACAUGUAAACCAUGAUUUAAUUUCAGAUAAACAAAGCAAAAGAUAGGUAAUGUUGAAUUAAGCUUUGAAGACAUAGAGCUGGGUGUCAUCAGCAUAACAAUGAAAGUUUAUGCCGAAUUUAUGGAAAAUAAACAGAAGAGGACCCAAAACUGAGCCCUGAGGCACACCACUAGUAAUCUGAAAUGUCUGUGAUAUGAAACUUUGAAUUUGAUCGGAUAAAUACGAUCUAAACCAAUCAAAAAGAAUGCCAGUGAUUCCAAUGGAAGUCAGCCUCUCCAAUAAAAUACUGUGAAAUGAUGUCAAAAGCUGUGCUUAAAUCGAGAAGAAUGAGUACUGAUAAAAGGUUAGUAGAAUAAGUUGACAUGUAGUUAGAAUUGAAUUGAAUUGAAUGUAGUUACAAAGUUACUUAUAGUCAGUAGAAUGUUGGGGGACCAUCAAAAUAAAGAGUUGGCAGAUAUUAAGCAGACAAGUCUCUAAGUGACAGCAGUUCUAAUGACUGCUAGCUGACAUGAAGUUGCAGAGUUACUUAUAGUUAGUAGAAUUUCAAAAGUGGACCACCGAAAUAAAGUGUUACUGCAUGGAGUUUUCCCAGUCCCUUCUACAUCUGCCACAAAUCCUGCCAGAGGAUGGCUGCAGCACCUACUCUCGUCUACGUUCAAGGCAAGUUGUUUGGCAUAUCAACAAUAUAACUUUAAGAUUACAUGAAGAGAGUUUUUACUAUUAUAAAAACAUGGAUUUCAGAGCAUUAGCAGAACUGAAGGUAACAGAAUAAACAAAACAGACAUUUUUUUUGUCCUUUUUAAUUUAAUACCACAUAGCAUAUACAACGGACAUAAAAUAUUAAUCAUACAAGAAUACACAAAUAAUGGAAAAAGGAAAACGAGAAAGAAAAAGUAGGCUCUACAUGUAUAUUCAAAUUAAGAGGAAUUUGGAGUCAUUAAAAAAGGAGUCAUUGUAGAUGGCUAUAGUCCUAGCUUUAAAGCUUAAAUGUCUUUCCCAAUGUUUCAAAAUAAAGCUUUGUUUCGUUCUUGAAUUGUAUAAUAUUAAGUUUCCUCCCAGACCACUUUCAUUUAUGCAUGUGAAACUUGCCAUAUAAUUUGAGAAGAUUUAAUAUAUAAAUAUGGAUCCUGAUGAUGUCUUUUUUCCCAUAGUAAAAAAAAAUAGCAUCACUUCAUCAUUGUUGUACAACUCAAUUCAGUGACGUUAUAUGUUGAAGUUGUGGCUAGCUAGCCUACUUUCCCAACCAUCUAGUUACAGAAUGUUGAAGCUAGAGUAGGCAAUGCUUUUCAUUUAAAAAAAAAAAAAAAAAAAAAAAAAAAAAAAACUUGUUGUUAUACAUCCUGAUAGCAAUCAAUAAUAGAAGCAACGUUCCCAACCCUGUUCCUGGAGGCAUACCAACAGUACACAUUUUGGAUAUCUCCCUUAUCUAACCCAUCUAUUUCAGGUCCUAGAGUCUCUACUAACAAGCUAGUGAGUUUAAUAAUGUGUAUUUGAUUAGGAAGAGUUCAAAAAUCUGUUGUGCCUUUAGGAAUAGGGUUGGGAAACACUGCCAUAAUUGAUUCACGUAGUUCAUGAUUAGUUGUGUGAGGUGCACAUCAACAAAACUGUCUUUAAAUGUGCACAAGAUGACGACUUUCAGUCUUAUAGUGUGUUUUAUAUAACAAAGGAGGGUCAGUUUGUGUGAGGUUUGGGAAUUUAGUAUUUUGGGAAGAAGUGUUGUCAUAUAGAGACAGAGAUGAAGGUGCAGGACGUGUAAUUGUCUGGGAUGUAUAUUUUGUGGCUCUGUGUGUCAUAUGUUUGAUGUGUACAUGUGAAGAGUACUCAUUUUGGAUGUCUCAAGAGAGACUGCUCCUGGGUGGGCAGAAAUAAUCUGUAAUAAACACUGAGCAGACAGACGUGACGCAAAAUCAGCACAAAUACAAGAUGACAGCACUGCAAACAAACAUGACAAGGAUGUGCCCAACACAUGCAGAAUUUUCCCACUGCUUUGUGUGACCUAUAAUGAUUUAUCAGACAGUCAUAAAAUGAACAUAUUUCCCUGAGACUCACAUCUUUCACAUACCUCAAAGAACCUUCAUACAUCUGUUUAAACACAGCAGACUUGAUUGAAAAAUCCGUUUUGGUUCUCUUAAAGGUUUUCCCACAGCACUGUUUGUUGAAUUACUGAGGACUAGAUUUUUGUUUGGUCUGGUCAUUUGUGCUUGCACUCAUGUGGUCCGGUUGAUAGACUUUGGCCAAUUCAGGCAGAAAGAAGUGCUGAGGUUCACUUUGUAGAGUUACGGCCCUAUUGACUCAGGCCGUCAGAUUUGAUAGAGGAGUGUUUCGGUUCGCUGCUCAAGCUUGAAAAACACAUUACAUCCACCCCGAAGUCUUCCUCUUCCUCAUCGUCUGGCAGUUCAGAAAGAGAAACACUAUUAUGAAAAAACAUUGGGCUUCAUUGGGUCCAUUCAUCCCGUAAAACCACAUGAAGUAUGUGUCUAUGUCAGAACAGACUGUUUGACACACAAACUUGACAGAUUCUCUAUGUACUCAGUGUCUGGCCAUGGUUGGCACACCAUGCUGACAGCUUAGACCUGUAGGCAUCAUACUUUUAUGAUUGCACACACAAACACGCAUGCGAUCUCCUUCACUUUCCAGAAACACCUCAGUGUCAAUAUCAUAAACCCUUAGCUCUCUAAGAGGAGGUCUUGCCAGUGACCAUGUUACCCUCAAGUAGACUCAUAAAUCCAAUGGAGAGAGGGUACGUAUUUAAAAAAGAAAAAAAGAAAGAAAGCCUUGGAGACAGUGCCACGCACCCUUGCUCAUGAAACUGUUUGUAGGGAAAGAUCUCCUUUUGUGUCUUUCCAUAAGUUGAAGGAUAAAUGUCUGGGAGUGUUCGAGUUUUAGAUUGUUUUUCCAGAGUGUUGCUGUGUAAUUUGGCUAAAUGGGCUUUGCCCUACAUUUAAAACAAUCCAGUAAAGAAUGUCAUUGCUGGAAAGUAAACAAGCUGAUGCACUCACAAGCAUACAAUCAACCCUAAUUACUAUUUAGGAGAAAGGACAUACUACUCACCUGAAAAAGUAGUAAUGGCUGGGUGUUAGCGUCAAAUGACUGCUCUUAACUAUGAGGGCAGUAGGCAUUUUUAACACAUAUUCUGCACACUGUGGUAUCUGUGUUUAGCUCUUCGGCUUGUGAGUGGUCUGAAACGGACCUAUGGGGCCCCAGUGGCAGCUGCCCACAUUCACUGCCCACUAAAUAAAAAAGAACGAGAGGACGUUUAUGGGGUGUUUGUCGUGUUGCCCAGAAGCUGAAUGUCCUUUAAACCAUCUGGAAGUCAGUGUGAUGUCACACCCUGGGCCUCUAAGAAAUAUGAUAAUGCUACAUAAGUAAAAUAGCUCAGCAGAAGGAGAAAAUGUAGAAAACAUUUUGUUCAUAUGCAUUUAUGAUAGGACUACUCAGUUGACAAAAUGAUAUUAGCCUUGCAAUUCUGAAGUUAUGUUUUAAAAACGAGCACACUGUAAAAAAUAUUCUGUAGUUUUUACAAAAUAAUUUUGGCAGCUGUGGUUGCCAGAAUAAUUUUGUAAAAAAUACAGAAAAACUGUAAACACAUUUACAGAACAAACUGUCAAUUUUACAGUAUAAAACUGUAAUUUACAAACAAGAAAAUUUGAAUGUAAACAAGUAAAUUCAACAAUGCACACUACUACUAAAAUCUGUUUUGUACCUUUAACAUAUACUGACAACCACCAUAAUAAUGCAGGUGGUAAAAGAGAAAGCCACAUGAAGAAUCAGAGUUCAUCACAAAUAGCUUUUCCAGGAGCUUAAGUAUAUACUAAUACAAAGUAGGUGCAAAGAGUCAUUCACGCAAAUGCAAAACACCAUCAUGGUAACCCACAACACUUACACAAUGCAAUAAACAUUAAUUAAACAACAGAAGAUGUAACAUAAAACCCUAAUGUACAUAACUGAUAACAAAAACUAUUAAGAAACUUUUUUUUUUUUUUAAACAAAAUACUUUCAAAUGUGGAGUGUCACACAGGGAAUUGUGGGAAUAUCAGUUUACAGUUUUUGACUGUAAAUUAUACAUUGAUUUGUUCUUUUUUACGUCUAAAAAUUUUAAAAAAAAUUACAGCAUUUUACUGUAAAAAUGACAUAAAAUGUCUGGUAAGAGCUUUUACAGUUUUUCCCUGUAUAUAGUACGGGAACUUACUGUUAACCUAUUUACAAUUUUUUUUCCGUAGCGUUUUUACAAUAUUUUUACCGUUAAAAUCACAUUCAUUUUUUACAGUGCACGUGUCUGAAUGAGAUUGCAUUAAAUGAAAAAAAAAAAUCAAAAGUUGCAUCUGCAAACAAAUAGGGCUUGAGCUUUUCUCAAAAAUAACCACUUUUCUGAGCCACUUUGGCAGGUACUUUUAACUGAUAUUUUAGUGGAUGUAUGAAGUCGGUUCUCUGUGGUCAAGAGGAACCACAAUUCAGAUCUACAGUAUGAACACGAUCCACUAACGACUAGGAAAAAAAAAAAAAAAAAACAUUUUGUCUUUAUUUUGAAUCUGUUGUGUUAUAAUUUAAACCCUAACAAACUUCUUUUUUCUAAAUGUUUUGCUUGAAAUGUGUGUUUGUGUCACUGAUCUAUAAGAUACUAUAUAGAGAUAAGUGGGUUGUGCUAUAUUUAUUUAAAAUAUAUUGCACUUGGUUUGACAUUGUUAUAUAAUGAAAAUACAUUUAAACAUGUUUAGUGUG